UAGGGAAUCUUCGGCAAUGGACGCAAGUCUGACCGAGCAACGCCGCGUGAGUGAAGAAGGUUUUCGGAUCGUAAAACUCUGUUGUUAGAGAAGAACAAGGAUGAGAGUGGAAAGUUCAUCCCUUGACGGUAUCUAACCAGAAAGCCACGGCUAACUACGUGCCAGCAGCCGCGGUAAUACGUAGGUGGCAAGCGUUGUCCGGAUUUAUUGGGCGUAAAGCGAGCGCAGGCGGUCUUUUAAGUCUGAUGUGAAAGCCCCCGGCUUAACCGGGGAGGGUCAUUGGAAACUGGGAGACUUGAGUGCAGAAGAGGAAAGCGGAAUUCCAUGUGUAGCGGUGAAAUGCGUAGAUAUAUGGAGGAACACCAGUGGCGAAGGCGGCUUUCUGGUCUGUAACUGACGCUGAGGCUCGAAAGCGUGGGGAGCAAACAGGAUUAGAUACCC
rnacentral:rRNA from 1 species